UGACACAGCCAUGGUGGAAAGGCUUUCUGCAGGCUGAUAAGAAGGAAUGUGAAAUGGCAUCAUCCCUCGCAGCCAGUCCAAAAAGACACAACACUGUCCUCCUCACUCGGGGUCCAUUUAUACAAUAAACUCAUACGUCUGUUUGGAAGGUUGAUCAUAAAUGAUCUACAAAACUAUUUCCUUUUUCAAGUCUUGGAUCAAACAGCUCAUUUCCCUUACUACAAUACACAUCUUUAGUCUCUCUUAAACUACUACUGUUUACCAUCUUAUCUUCGGCCACGUUUUUUCCUUUAUUUACAAAUUUAAAAAAAAAAAAGAAAUCGCUCAAAAUCACACUCUACAACUGUUAUUUUAACAACAAAAAAUCAAAUGUGAAAAUUUCACCUUCCAAUCAAUUUCUUUCUGUAAUCAACUUGUGGCUGCCGAUUCUUCUUUUCUUUAAACCGAAGGGAAAAAUCGUUUCUUUUCAGAGCGACAAUCAUGGAAGCUGCUCUUGUCGUUUUUCUAACAUAAUUCAUUGCUCUGACUGGUGUGCCAGUAAAAAACUGCCAUGUGGAAAGUCCAAUUUUUUGUGUUUUUUUUUUUUUUUUUUCAAAAGUAUCGUCUAGGUGACGGAGAGAUGAGAGAUCUCCCAUAAUCCGGAAGGCUAUGAAGCAAUCACAUUCCACCACUAAUAUUUAUUUAUUUAUUUAAUAUUUUAUUUAUUAUCGUUCCUAUCAUAGAGAUUGAAAUAAGGGAAAUUCCGAAAAGGAGAUAUAUAUAACAGGGUAUAUCGUCACAGGUAAGCACCUAUCUAAUAGCAGCCUUUUACAGAGUAUACGUGUAAGGAUCUGGGUGGGGAAGCCGAACAGAUCGGACGGUUGAAACAAAAAUGACCCUUGAGGCAUUUGGAAGGCCACUUUAUCCAGAUCUGAAUUUUAUUUUUGAUAUAUAUUUUCUUUUAUAAUAAAAGAUCCAUGUGGGUGUCAUUUAGAUUUUUCAGUGUUUUGAUUGGCAUGAAAGUCGGCCCACAUUGUUGCUUGUCUGAGACUACCCACUUGGGAUUUGUCUGCACUCUCCUACUUUCUUCUGUCCUUGUCCACAACAUUUUAAACCAAAAUUACAACUAAUAUUUCUAAAUAUAUUCGAAAUUCGGAAGAAAAUAUGGAGUCUAAGGGGGAUGAUGUUUUAAAUAGUGGUGAUGUGUCCUGAUGAGUUAUGAGGCAACGGCCAAUAAUGGGGCAGGGCCGGCAGGCUCGAGACGCCGCUCGCAGUAGACAAAGAUUGUAGACACGUAGCUAAAAGCCUAAAACCAUGUCUGACUGCACCACAUAAAAGAUAAUAAGGAAGGAAGAAUAAAGGCAGACUGCACCACAUAAAAGAUAAUAAGGAAGGAAGAAUAAAGGCAGUGUCAUUAAUCACUUUAUACAAUCGGUGACAGCUACGUACAUCACAUGAGUUGUGCUGCAGUUGGCUUCUUUUUGGGCAUUUGGUGCAGGGCUUGGCAUUCAAAUUGAAGGAAAAAAGAAUGAAGAUUUGGGAUCUUUACUCUUCCAAGUGUUGAAAUUGGAUGGUGGAAUUCGGCUAUGAAAAGAAAAAAGGAAAGGAAAAAUGUGCAGGCCUAAAGCAACUUAUACAAGAAUACAAGUUUUGUCUCUGCAUGCAGGCAAAGCUCAGGGAUGGAGCUCAGCCCCAGCGCAGAAUAGUGAGUUAACGGUGGAGUUCGGAGUGAGGUGGGAUGAGUGUGAAAGCGAAAAUUGCAGAAAGAAAGAAGAGAAUAGAGAGAACCUCUUGAGCAAAUUGCAAAGGGCCUUCAACAGAAGCAGUCCAAAGUCUGCCUCCUGCACCAUAGGGCUGAUCAUUCCACGGCAGGAGCCUUACCAUGUUUUUGGAUUCAGUUGACCGGCUUGCAGAGGUCGGUUACCAUGUAGGGUGAAAGAAAAUUACAUUUUUUUUUUCAAGCAAAUGAAAGAAAGAAAAUAUAAGCAAGACUUUUCUCCUA